AUGGUGCGAAUUAGAUUUGGCAGGAAUUUGAAAGAAAUUAUUGCUUGGAAAAAGGGCCGAGUUUAGAAGCUUGUUUUGUUCUUCCUAAUUCACCAUGAUCUCCAGCCACCAUCAUUUCCAUAAUAGCAAGACGCAAUCAAGGUUGUUUUGUUCUUCCUAAUUCACCAUGAUCUUCAGCCACCAUCAUUUCCAUAGUAGCAAGAUGCAGCCAAAGUUUUUUUGUUCUUCCUAAUUCACCAUGAUCUCCAGCCACCAUCAUUUUCAUAGUAGCAAGAUACGGCCACUAUCAUUUUCUUUGUAGCAAGAUAUAGCCACCAUCAUUUCUA
rnacentral:lncRNA from 1 species